GGCGUAAAGAGCUCGUAGGCGGUCUGUCGCGUCUGGUGUGGAAAACUCGAGGCUCAACCUCGAGCUUGCAUCGGGUACGGGCAGACUAGAGUGCGGUAGGGGGAGACUGGAAUACCUGGUGUAGCGGUGGAAUGCGCAGAUAUCAGGAGGAACACCGAUGGCGAAGGCAGGUCUCUGGGCCGCAACUGACGCUGAGGAGCGAAAGCAUGGGGAGCGAACAGGAUUAGAUACCCUGGUAGUCCAUGCCGUAAACGUUGGGCACUAGGUGUGGGGCUCAUUCCACGAGUUCCGUGCCGCAGCAAACGCAUUAAGUGCCCCGCCUGGGGAGUACGGCCGCAAGGCUAAAACUCAAAGGAAUUGACGGGGGCCCGCACAAGCGGCGGAGCAUGCGGAUUAAUUCGAUGCAACGCGGGAGAACCUUACCAAGGCUUGACAUGCACGGGAAGCCGCCAGAGAUGGUGGUCUCUAAAAAAAACUCGUGCACAGGUGGUGCAUGGUUGUCGUCAGCUCGUGUCGUGAGAUGUUGGGUUAAGUCCCGCAACGAGCGCAACCCUCGUCCCAUGUUGCCAGCGGGUUAUGCCGGGGACUCAUGGGAGACUGCCGGGGUCAACUCGGAGGAAGGUGGGGAUGACGUCAAAUCAUCAUGCCCCUUAUGUCUUGGGCUUCACGCAUGCUACAAUGGCCGGUACAAAGGGCUGCGAUUCCGUAAGGUGGAGCGAAUCCCAAAAAACCGGUCUCAGUUCGGAUU
rnacentral:rRNA from 1 species